CGUUGCCCGAGGAAAAAGUAAUUGCUAAUGCAUAUUUAUGUGGCACAAAUUUGCCAUUUGUUUAUGCAUAAAAUUAUCAAUAGUGCAGGGCGGCCCAGCCGUAGAAAAUGGUGACCUUUUUAGCUUAAUAAAUAGAAAUCAGCUGUUAUUGUGAAGAGAUCAGCCAUUUAUUCUGUGUUGAGGGACACUGUCGGGAAAAUGUAGAUUGGUGCUGGCAAUAUCAUUAAAUGGAAGGCCAGUGACCCUUUCGGUAUAGUCUAUUAUACUUUAUCUAAUAGGGGAUAAAUGACUCUGGUUGGCAAAUAGAUUAAAAAAAAAAAAAAAAAAUACCCCUCUAGGCUUCUCUUAUUUCUCAGCCGUAUGAACAGGUAGUAACAGGUAGUAGGUACUGAGGAGGUAACGUUGCACAAGCCUGCUGGUGGUAUUUUUCUAGCAGAAACGUGACUUAAGAAAAAUAAUAACAAAACCGAGUUAAAAAUAAACCACCACCACCACCAAAGCACACAAACACAAAAACAACCCCCAAACUCACUCUAUUUAAACCAGUUUUGACCAUUUUGGUUUGGAGUAGGUACAGUGACUGAGGCCAGCCUAUGAUUCUUCCACGUUUGCAUCACCAGAAUUUGCCAGAUCAUAACUCAAGACACCGAAGGCCUCAUCUGCCAAAUGUUUGCUCAGGAGCUGCAGCAAAAGUCUUGUGCUUCUCCCCUAAUUGACUUCAACCUUAAUGAGCAGACUUCGGACUUUAAGACUUUCAAAACUCUCUGCCAGAAGCCUCAGGAAGUUCAUGUGAAAAUGAAAGUGCGUGCUAAAACCCCUGUUUCUCUUGUUCUGCUCUCUGUAGUUUGCUACACCGUGCAUAACUGGAAGCACGUUUAUCCACUCUACAGGUGAAACAUGGAGAGAUCCUUCCUCUUGCUGAUGACCGGGUUCCUGUUUGAUCCUGUUUAUAAGCUUCCGAAGACUGAAAAUAAGCUCAACUCCUCUGCAUCGGCCUGGAGGAGCUGCAGAUUUGCAGAGAUCGCCAGUAAAAAUAGUAACAUGAAUUCCCACACAGCAGUACCUGUGUAGAUCUUCAAAUGUCAUUCCUGGUAAGUAUUUACAUCUUAUUGGGUUUUUUUAGCAGAACCGUACUUGGACUGUGGUGAGCAGUAAAACCAUACCGCUCUCCCUUACCGGAUGAGUAUUAGAUGUCCAUUCAUGUGACUUUAACAGUGCUUUUACAUUUGUACAAAAAUGUUCUUCUAAGAAAUACACGGAAAUGAAAAUACCUUCUAAUAGACGUGCAGAAGGCCUUAUCCUAAAAUAUAAGACUCUCCUUACGUGCCCCACUUCUAGGGCAGAGUAGGCACAAAUUUGUAGGCAACCUGUAGGACAUGGUUUCCAGCAGAUUCUUAUCUGUGGUUUUCUUUUUUAUCUAUGUAACUUGACUACAAUUACUUCUGUCUACUUCAUAGUUA
rnacentral:lncRNA from 1 species